AAGUCGAACGGCAGCACGGGGGCAACCCUGGUGGCGAGUGGCGAACGGGUGAGUAAUAUAUCGGAACGUACCCUAGAGUGGGGGAUAACGUAGCGAAAGUUACGCUAAUACCGCAUACGAUCUACGGAUGAAAGUGGGGGCUCGCAAGACCUCAUGCUCAUGGAGCGGCCGAUAUCUGAUUAGCUAGUUGGUGAGGUAAAGGCUCACCAAGGCGACGAUCAGUAGCUGGUCUGAGAGGACGACCAGCCACACUGGGACUGAGACACGGCCCAGACUCCUACGGGAGGCAGCAGUGGGGAAUUUUGGACAAUGGGGGCAACCCUGAUCCAGCAAUGCCGCGUGAGUGAAGAAGGCCUUCGGGUUGUAAAGCUCUUUUGUCAGGGAAGAAACGGUGAAGGCUAAUAUCCUUUGCUAAUGACGGUACCUGAAGAAUAAGCACCGGCUAACUACGUGCCAGCAGCCGCGGUAAUACGUAGGGUGCAAGCGUUAAUCGGAAUUACUGGGCGUAAAGCGUGCGCAGGCGGUUAUGUAAGACAGAUGUGAAAUGCCCGGGCUCAACCUGGGAACUGCAUUUGUGACUGCAUGGCUAGAGUGUGUCAUGGUAGUCCCCCCCU
rnacentral:rRNA from 1 species